GGUGUGAGCCACCUGAUGUCAGUGUUGGGAACCAAACUCAGGUUCUCUGGGAGAGCAACAAGCACUCUUAAUUGCUGGCCUCAGAUUGCCAGGCUUGGCAAGAAGCACCUAUACUCACUGAGCCAUCUCUUCAGCCCAGCCAUGGUUAUUUUUAAAUUUCAUAUUACACUCUCAGUAAUUCUCACUUUUUACAAAAUUAUAUAUCAUAGUUGGCAGCCAAUGGAUGAUAUGAAAGGAUAGAAAAUCUUUUUGAGCUGAGUAGUGGUGGAGUACCACCUUUAGAUAAAUUUGUUGCAAUUCUGUGGGUUUGGUCGGUUUUGGCACCAACAAUAUAAGUAUUGUAACUCUGG